GGAUAAAGCUCAAAAACCCCAGCAAGCAAAAACAGAGUCUGAAACCCUACUUUCACUUAAAAACCUUCUACGGCAUGUUCUUGUUGUAGCGGGUGGGAGACUGUAGAACAAACACACCCGAAAAUGAACCUUGCAGUCCCUCACAAACCGAAUCCACUUCUCUAUCCUUCAACACUACUGGUCCAAACUAGUCAAAAUCCUAUUUUUUUACAGUUUACCCCGAGGUGCAAACCCAGAGUUUCCCGACAAAAACCCAUUUUUAGAAUCUAUUCCUCUGCUAAUCCAAAUGGCUCUGAUGGGUUGUCUUGGCCUAGUCUGACUCGGGCUUUUCGGCUCGGCUCGGAGCGAUUUUUGCUCAAACUUCGCGAGUCAGUGAACAGGGAAACUGGGUUUAAUAUGGACUGGGUUAAUGUGAAGAUGGGUGAAUUUUUGGAGCUUGCUAAGGAUCGGGCCAAGAAGGGUGAGGCAGAGUUGAAUCGCUUUAGGACCGAGUUGUUGCCCGAGUUUGGUAAUUGGAAUAGGUGGGAGCGUUGGAAGGAUAUAAAGAAUUGGGAGCCUAAACGAGUUGGUGUAUUGGUUCUCUAUGUUUUUUUUAUGAUUUUUUCUUGUCAAAGAAUGUAUAUUGCUAUUCGAGCUCCUUACUUGGAUCGAGAAAGAAGAGAAUUGACAGAGGCUUAUAUGGAGGCAUUGAUUCCUGAGCCAUCUCCUAUAAAUAUUAGAAGGUUUAAGAAGGGUAUGUGGAGGAAGUUAACACCUAAAGGUUUGAAAUUGAAGAAGUUUGUUGAAGGGCCUGAUGGAACACUGGUUCAAGAUACUGCCUAUGUUGGAGAAGAUGCAUGGGAUGAUGAUCCACUGCCGCCUCAGGAGAGUGUGAAGCAGGUUAUUGACGAGAAUGUGAGAUUAAAUCCAGAAGAAAAGAAAGAAUUGAAAGAAGAUUUGGGCAUUUCAGGUGCAACUCAAGAAAGUAAAGGAACUUGGCGUGAAAGGCUUCAAACAUGGAAAGAAAUACUAAGAAAUGAUAAGUUAGCUGAGGAAUUAGAUGCUUCAAAUGCCAAAUAUGUUGUUGAAUUUGACAUGAAAGAGGUUGAAAAUAGUCUUCGUAAGGAUUUGGUGGAAAAGGUCAGAGACACACAAGGAGCUAGGGCCUUGUGGAUAUCUAAGAGAUGGUGGCGUUAUCGUCCCAAACUUCCAUAUACUUAUUUUCUUCAAAAGCUUGAUUGCUCUGAGGUUGCUGCUGUUGUUUUCACAGAGGACCUAAAAAGACUAUAUGUAACUAUGAAAGAAGGUUUUCCAUUAGAAUAUGUUGUUGACAUUCCCCUUGAUCCACACUUGUUCGAGAUAAUUUCAAGUUCUGGAGUUGAAGUAGAUCUCCUUCAGAAGCGACAAAUCCAUUAUUUUUUGAAAGUUGUGACUGCAUUGUUGCCUGGAUUACUUAUACUGUGGCUUAUAAGGGAGUCUGUUAUGUUAUUACACAUCACUUCUAAUCGUUUUCUUUACAAGAAGUAUAAUCAACUUUUUGACAUGGCAUAUGCGGAAAAUUUUAUCCUGCCAGUUGGAGAUUUUGGUGAAACAAAAUCAAUGUAUAAGGAAGUGAUACUUGGAGGCGAUGUCUGGGAUCUUCUUGAUGAAAUAAUGAUCUAUAUGGGCAAUCCCAUGCAAUACUAUGAAAAAGGGGUUAAGUUUGUUCGGGGUGUUCUUCUCUCUGGACCUCCUGGAACAGGGAAGACACUUUUUGCUCGGACACUUGCAAAGGAAAGUGGAUUGCCUUUUGUUUUUGCUUCUGGUGCGGAGUUUACAGAUAGUGAAAAAAGCGGUGCAGCAAGGAUCAAUGAGAUGUUUUCCAUUGCUAGAAGAAAUGCUCCUUCUUUUGUUUUUGUGGAUGAAAUUGAUGCCAUUGCUGGAAGACAUGCAAGGAAGGACCCACGAAGACGGGCAACAUUUGAGGCUCUGAUUGCGCAGCUUGAUGGGGAGAAGGAAAAAACAGGUGUAGAUCGGUUUUCACUUAGACAAGCUGUGAUAUUCAUUUGUGCCACCAAUAGGCCGGAUGAAUUGGACCUGGAAUUUGUUCGUCCUGGACGCAUUGAUCGUCGAUUGUACAUUGGCUUGCCUGAUGCAAAGCAAAGAGUUCAAAUUUUUGGUGUUCAUAGUGCAGGAAAGCAACUUGCGGAUGAUGUAGAUUUUGGAAAGCUUGUCUUCCGUACUGUUGGCUUCUCUGGAGCAGAUAUUAGGAAUCUUGUCAAUGAAGCUGCAAUCAUGGCUGUAAGGAAAGGACAUUCCAGGAUCUACCAGGAAGACAUUGUUGAUGUUUUAGAUAAACAAUUGCUCGAGGGCAUGGGUGUACUUCUUACAGAAGAAGAACAGCAGAAAUGUGAAGAAAGUGUGUCUUUUGAAAAGAAGAGACUUCUGGCUGUACAUGAAGCUGGUCACAUAUUAUUAUCUCACUUGUUUCCACACUUUGAUUGGCAUGCAUUUUCUCAGCUCCUGCCUGGGGGCAAGGAAACUGCAAUAUCUGUUUUCUAUCCCAGAGAAGAUAUGAUAGACCAAGGCUAUACAACCUUUGGCUACAUGAAGAUGCAAAUGGUGGUAGCUCAUGGUGGACGUUGUGCUGAACAUCUUGUAUUUGGUGAUGACGUUACUGAUGGAGGCAGUGACGACCUUGAAAAGAUAACAAAGAUUGCUAGGGAGAUGGUAAUCAGCCCUCAAAAUGCAAGGUUGGGCCUUACUGCUCUAACAAAAAGAGUUGGACUCAGAGAUCGACCUGACAGCCCAGAAAGCGGGUUGAUAAAGUAUAAGUGGGAUGAUCCUCAUGUGAUUCCUGCGAACAUGACACUUGAAGUAUCCGAGCUAUUUACCCGAGAGUUGACAAGGUAUAUCAAAGAGACAGAAGAUCUUGCAAUGAGAGGACUGAGGGACAAUAUACACAUACUGGAUGUGAUUACAAAGGCGCUGUUGGAGAAGUCAAGAAUAACUGGAUUGGUAUAUCGAUUUAUAUAAUUCUUGUCAUGGAUUCUCAACAAAUAUUUGCUGUUUAAUAAAAUAUAAUUUUCAUGACUCUUUGGUUUCUCCACCCAUAUUAAGUAUUUUCAACAUUACCUUCAUCAAAACUGCCUUGUGGAUGGUUUCGUUAGUUAUGAAGUAUUUUUUGUUCUUCUUAAUUUUCUUUGGUAGUCAGCUGUCAGAAUAAUUUUCCUCUAUAAAUCUGCUGGUUUAGGCGUCAAAAUGGUCAUUGUCCUAUCCUAUAAAUUAUUAUAAUGGUCAGAUGUAACUGCUAAAUUUUAUGUCAUGAUUUGAUCUCAACUGCUUCCAGGAAGUUGAGGAGAUAAUGAAGGGGCUUUCUCCAAUGAUGUUUGAAGAUUUUGUAAAGCCAUUCCAGAUAGACUUGAAAGAGGAGGGACCAUUGUCUCAUAAUGACAAGUUGCGAUAUCAACCUUUAGAUGUAUAUCCUGCCCCACUCCAUCGAUGUUGAUGAAUUUGUGAUAAGAACCUUUGGAUAUAUUUUCAUCACCAGUCCAUCAAUGUUGAAGGUCCUAGGAAUUGGAUGCUAUAAUCUUAAUCCUUUGCAUGCAAAUUUUGCACCAAGAUUUCCGAAAAGAUAUUUAGGAACUGGAAAAUAGGAAGCCAUGCAACACAGUCUUCUUGCCAGAGUCCAUUUGCCUUUCGAAAAAUGAUUUCCAUGCAAGGAAGUUUGUAGCCAGGCUAUACUCAGUUUGUUAAAGGCAACAGUGCUUCAUUGGGGUUUGCCUCGAGUACUUCGACCUUGGGAAGGAAAUCUCGCUUCAACAAGCAUGGCUUUGAAUCCUGAUAUGGAAUCCAACAGCAUGCCUUUUGCCAGUUUUGUCCCAACAAUGACAAUUUUGUUCUUUGUUGAUUGAUAUUGCGGGAAUAUGGUAAUGUUCUCAAAUGUUUGCUGUCUAUUGUAGCAUGAAUGUAUAAAAUCAAAUCUGUACAACAGUUUCAUGUGCUGAAAUAGAAGGGAUAGAUUUCCUAAAAAUAUUAGAGGUUCUCUUUAAAUUUUAACAGCUUGAUUACAGUACUCGAACAUGGUCCAUUGAUCGAGUAUCACCUUCAACAAAAUGUAGGGUUUUCUGUUAGCACCACUUAGUCAAUUUGUUGCUGUUUAGUCUCCUAUUAUUUCUCUUAGUUUGUUGAGUCAAAGCACUUACAGUUAGUGCCAUAUUUCUCUGAUUUUAUUGUUAUCUUGUGGCUAUAUAAGAGUCAUUGUUUUGUUUAUUUGAAUACAUAUUUAACAGUGCUCUUUCU
rnacentral:misc_RNA from 1 species